GAAGCACACAGUGUUGCACACAGUACAAGUGAACCACCACAUCCCCCGACGACUGAGACAAAAGACUAUUAAGGAUCAACACUGGUCCUGAAAAGCUGGGGUGCAACGUGAGCAGCUGGCCGCCAUCUUUCAGCUGCUGAAAGACAACAGGGAGACGUUUGGGGAGCUGUCCGAGGGAGACAUGGAGGAGCAGCUCAGACUCUACUCCAUCUGAGACUCCUCUCUGACUCUUUGUGCUGCGAUCCAGCUUCUGAUUGUGCUCUUUAACCUGUGAGCUCUACUGAAGGACAAUUCCAGUACACCAAAUACUUGUUCACAGUAUUAAACAGCAGCUGUACUGUUCACUCAA